rnacentral:rRNA from 1 species
AAUGUCCGGGGCUGAAACACGACACCGAAGCUUAGGAAUCACAUAGUGAUUGGUAGAGGAGCAUUCUUAAAACCGACGAAGCUGUACCGGAAGGAGCAGUGGAGGGAUAAGAAGAGAGAAUGCCGGAAUGAGUAGCGAGAGGAAGGUGGGAAUCCUUCCGGCCGAAUAUCUAAGGUUUCCAGAGUAAAGCUGGUCUGCUCUGGGUAAGUCGGGGCCUAAGGAGAGGUCGAAAGACGUAUCCGAUGGACAACAGGUUUAGAUUCCUGUACCACAUAUAAACAGAACUGUGGGGACGCAUGUGGAAAGCAUAAGCCGGGAAUGGAAAUACCGGUACAAACGGAAGAGGUGUCAGGCUGGCAAAUCCGCCUGAUAAGCCAAAGACGUGAUGUGGAGCGAAAUAAAAGUAGCGAAGUAUGUGAGCCAUGUGCCGAGAAAAGCCGCUAUCGUUUUAUAUGUGCCCGUACCGUAAACCGACACAGGUGGAUGAGGAGAGAAUCCUAAGGCCGACGGAAGAAGCAUUGUUAAGGAACUCGGCAAAAUGACCCCGUAACUUCGGGAGAAGGGGUGCCCACUUCAGGGUGGGCCGCAGAGAAUGGGCUCAAGCAACUGUUUAGCAAAAACACAGGUCUAUGCGAAACCGUAAGGUGAAGUAUAUGGGCUGACGCCUGCCCGGUGCUGGAAGGUUAAGAGGAGAGGUUAGUCGCAAGAUGAAGCUUUGAAUUUAAGCCCCAGUAAACGGCGGCCGUAACGAUAACGGUCCUAAGGUAGCGAAAUUCCUUGUCGGGUAAGUUCCGACCCGCACGAAAGGCGUAAUGAUUUGAGCACUGUCUCGACAAUGCAUCCGGUGAAAUUGAAGUACCAGUGAAGAUGCUGGUUACCCGCGCCAGGACGGAAAGACCCCAUGGAGCUUUACUCCAGUUUGGUACUGGGAUUCGGUACUGCAUGUACAGGAUAGGUGGGAGACUGAGAAAUUGGAACGCCAGUUUCAAUGGAGUCACUGUUGGGAUACCACCCCUGCAGUAUUGGGUUUCUAACCAGCCGCUGUGAUCCAGCGGUGGGACAAUGCCAGGCGGGGAGUUUGACUGGGGCGGUCGCCUCCGAAAGGGUAUCGGAGGCGCUCAAAGGUUCCCUCAGAAAGGUCGGAAACCAUUUGAAGAGUGCAAAGGCAGAAGGGAGCUUGACUGCGACACCGACGGGUGGAGCAGGUACGAAAGUAGGACUUAGUGAUCCGGUGGCAUAAAGUGGGAUUGCCAUCGCUCAACGGAUAAAAGCUACCCUGGGAUAACGCUUAUCACUCCCAAGAGUUCACAUCGACGGAGUGGUUUGGCACCUCGAUGUCGGCUCAUCGCAUCCUGGGGCUGUAGCAGGUCCCAAGGGUUGGGCUGUUCGCCCAUUAAAGCGGUACGCGAGCUGGGUUCAGAACGUCGUGAGACAGUUCGGUCCCUAUCCGGCGCGGGCGGAGGAUAUUUGAGAGGAGCUGUCCUUAGUACGAGAGGACCGGGAUGGACGGACCACUGGUGUAUCUGCUGUCGACCAACGGCAUGGCAGAGUAGCCAAGUCCGGAAGGGAUAAACGCUGAAGGCAUCUAAGCGUGAAGCCCCCCUCAAGAUGAGAUAUCCCUCACAUAAGUGAGUAAGAUCCCUUGAAGAGUACAAGGUAGAUAGGGCAGAGGUGGAAGCACGGUAACGUGUAGAGCUGACUGUUACUAAUCGAUCGAGGGCUUGAUC